rnacentral:ncRNA from 1 species
GCAAGCCCGUGCACGACGGGCCCGGACGAGCGCACCGUACCCGGCAGGCGACAAGACGGUGCAGG